UCACCUGACCUCAGCUCGGGGGAAAAAGUCACACUCACAGACCAUUUCUCCAAUUUGACCUACCUUCCAUCACUGCUGCUGAGGGAGAGCUGCCUGCUAACAGCUGCACUUCAAGGACCUUCCAUGAGGUGCUGGGACAGAAAGUGCAUUCGUGACUUGAGAGGAUAUUUUCUUCUGUUCUGUUUGCCAUGCUCAUCACUGGUAUAUCAGAGUGCCUGGGCUCUAGCAAUGGUGGAGU